GCAGGCUCACGCUUGAAUACAUUAGCAUGGAAUAAUGAAAUAGGACAUCGCAUUCUAUUUUGUUGGUUUCUAGGAUCGAUGUAAUGAUUAAUAGGGAUAGUUGGGGGCAUUAGUAUUCAAUUGUCAGAGGUGAAAUUCUUGGAUUUAUUGAAGACUAACUACUGCGAAAGCAUUUGCCAAGGAUGUUUUCAUUAAUCAAGAACGAAAGUUAGGGGAUCGAAGACGAUCAGAUACCGUCGUAGUCUUAACCAUAAACUAUGCCGACUAGGGAUCGGAUGAUGUUGAUUUUUUAAUGACUCAUUCGGCACCUUACGGGAAACCAAAGUGUUUGGGUUCCGGGGGGAGUAUGGUCGCAAGGCUGAAACUUAAAGGAAUUGACGGAAGGGCACCACCAGGGGUGGAGCCUGCG
rnacentral:rRNA from 1 species